rnacentral:lncRNA from 1 species
GAUGAUGGGCGCCACAAGCCCAUUUGCUUUGGUGGCCCAUUAUCUCUAUUUUUCUCCAUUUUCUUCUCUUUUUCUUUCCUUUUUAUUUCCUUUUUCUUUCCUUUUUGCUAUUUUCCAUUUUGCUUGCUGUAAACCUUUUAAUCGAUAAAUACCUGUAAUAAAUAUAAAAUAAUGCGUAAUAAUAAGUGUUAUCAAGUAAAAAGCAAUGCAUAUGAAGCCAAAAAUACGAUACGUUUUCGCGUUAU